rnacentral:rRNA from 1 species
UGCGCAGGUGCUGCAUGGCUGUCGUCAGCUCGUGUCGUGAGAUGUUGGGUUAAGUCCCGCAACCGAGCGCAACCCUUGUCAUUAGUUGCCAUCAUUUGGUUGGGCACUCUAAUGAGACUGCCGGUGACAAACCGGGAGGAAGGUGGGGAUGACGUCAAGUCCUCAUGGCCCUUAUGGGUAGGCUUCACACGUCAUACAAUGGUCGGUACAGAGGGUUGCCAACCCGCGAGGGGGAGCUAAUCCCACAAAGCCGAUCGUAGUCCGGAUCGCAGUCUGCAACUCGACUGCGUGAAGUCGGAAUCGCUAGUAAUCGUGGAUCAGCAUGUCACGGUGAAUACGUUCCCGGGUCUU